rnacentral:rRNA from 1 species
GACAGAGGGUGCAAACGUUGUUCGGAAUUACUGGGCGUAAAGCGAGUGUAGGCGGUCUGAAAAAGUCGGGUGUGAAAGCCCUGGGCUCAACCCAGGAAGUGCACUCGAAACUGCCAGGCUAGAGUAUCGGAGAGGUUGGUGGAAUUCUCGGUGUAGAGGUGAAAUUCGUAGAUAUCGAGAGGAACACCGGUGGCGAAGGCGGCCAACUGGACGAAUACUGACGCUGAGACUCGAAAGCGUGGGGAGCAAACAGG